CACCCGCAGCUCGAGAGGUGGUCACUUUUAUUGAGCCUAAAGCGUUCGUCGCCGGGUUUGUAAAUCCUCAGACAAAUUCUCCUGCUUAACGGGAGAUACUCUGGAGAGACUGCGAAACUAGGGACCGGGUGAGGUUGAAGGUACUUCUGGGGUAGGGGUAAAAUCCUGUAAUCCUGGAAGGACGACCAGUGGCGAAGGCGUGCAGCUAGAACGGAUCCGACGGUGAGGAACGAGGGCUAGGGGAGCAAACCGG
rnacentral:rRNA from 1 species